rnacentral:rRNA from 1 species
ACCUACGGGACGCAGCAGUGAGGAAUAUUGGUCAAUGGGCGCAAGCCUGAACCAGCCAAGUCGCGUGAGGGAAGACGGCCCUACGGGUUGUAAACCUCUUUUGCCGGGGAGCAAGCCUGAGCACGUGUGCCCAGGCGGAGAGUACCCGGAGAAAAAGCAUCGGCUAACUCCGUGCCAGCAGCCGCGGUAAUACGGAGGAUGCGAGCGUUAUCCGGAUUUAUUGGGUGUAAAGGGCGUGUAGGCGGGAGAGCAAGUCAGACGUGAAAUUCCAGGGCUCAACCCUGGAACUGCGUUUGAAACUGUUC